rnacentral:rRNA from 1 species
UACGGGGGGGGCAAGCGUUGUUCGGAAUUACUGGGCGUAAAGGGCUCGUAGGUGGCCAACUAAGUCAGACGUGAAAUCCCCAGGCUUAACCUGGGAACUGCGUCUGAUACUGGAUGGCUUGAAUUCGGGAGAGGGAUGCAGAAUUCCAGGUGUAGCGGUGAAAUGCGUAGAUAUCUGGAGGAAUACCGGUGGCGAAGGCGGCAUCCUGGACCGAGAUUGACACUGAGUGAGCGAAAGCCAGGGGAGCAAACGGG